UACGUAGGGACCAAGCGUUGUUCGGAUUUACUGGGCGUAAAGGGCGCGUAGGCGGCAUGACAAGUCACUUGUGAAAUCUCUGGGCUUAACCCAGAACGGCCAAGUGAUACUGUCGCGCUAGAGUGCGGAAGGGGCAAUCGGAAUUCUUGGUGUAGCGGUGAAAUGCGUAGAUAUCAAGAGGAACACCUGAGGUGAAGACGGGUUGCCGGGCCGACACUGACGCUGAGUGCGCGAAAGCCAGGGGAGCAAACGGG
rnacentral:rRNA from 1 species